GAUGGCAGGUAAUUGAUCUAUAAAAAUAGAUAGGAAAGUCCAUACUAGCACAGUCUGCGAUGAUUGUAGUGUUUGUACCUAAGGAAAAAAUAACUUAGGGCACCUAACCAGUGACAGCGGAUGAACCACCCCUUUUAGGGAUUAGUAAUCUAUAAAGUGCCACAGAGACGAGUUAUUUAGGCAACUAAAUAAAUGAAACGCGGUAAACCUUACAAGCUAGAAACCCAAAUUUGGUAGGGGAAUGAGUUUUAAUGAAUUAAAAUUAAAACUUACGAAGAAAUUCGAGAUAAAUAAUUACCUAAUACAGAAAAUGGCUUAUUACC
rnacentral:RNase_P_RNA from 1 species